GGAUAGGCGCUGUGCGGUCUGGCGCCGUGAAUCAUGUCAGGCGGGGAACCGAGCAGCAUUAAGCGGAAUGCUGGGGGCGAUGCAGUUAGUUUGUUCGCU
rnacentral:SRP_RNA from 1 species